GUUUUGGGAGGCAGAAAAUUUGUGAAGAAAGCUAAUUUCCUGAUUUCUUCGUUUAUCUCUUAGGGGAAGUAGGAGAGUGAGAAAGAAGACUGGACCCUAUUCUAGAUGGGUGGAGGGAACCUGCCCUCAAGAGAUGGAAGCAGUGGGGACACAGUGGCACAAUGGCAAAUGAGUUCCUGGACAAAAAAAUCAAUCAACCCAAGGAUUCUUAGUCCAAGAGAAGAAGAAAAGUCCCGGGGAAAAGAGAAAUUCCUGAACCAUGAUAAGUGCCUGUCCAGGCAGCAUUGUACUUGACAUGAUCUCCCCAACUGGUUGUUAAAGGUUACUGUGAGUAAUAACUCCCACAAAUAAAUCUCAGAAAUCACAAACA
rnacentral:lncRNA from 1 species